rnacentral:rRNA from 1 species
UGGUGGGUUGCCUUGUCAGGUUGAUUCCGGUAACGAACGAGACCUCAGCCUGCUAAAUAGUCACGACCACCUUGGUGGCCGCUUGACUUCUUAGAGGGACUAUUGGCGUUCAGCCAAUGGAAGUGUGAGGCAAUAACA